rnacentral:rRNA from 1 species
GACGAACCGUACGAACGUUAUUCGGAAUCACUGGGCUUAAAGGGUGCGUAGGCGGCGCGACAAGUUGGGUGUGAAAUCCCUCGGCUCAACCGAGGAACUGCGCCCAAAACUGUCGUGCUCGAGGGAGACAGAGGUGAGCGGAACUUAGGGUGGAGCGGUGAAAUGCGUUGAUAUCCUAAGGAACACCGGUGGCGAAAGCGGCUCACUGGACCAUUACUGACGCUGAGGCACGAAAGCUAGGGGAGCAAACAGG